UAAAAAGAAAUAAAGAACAACACGCAUGUUUGAUUCUUCUUCUCAAAAGAACGCAGCUCGAAAACAUAAAAUCCCAAAUUGAUUCUUGUUCUUAUAUUGGUUCAUCCCCAAAUUGAAUCUACUUCUCAAAAUCAAUUCCGGUCGAAAAGAAAACACAAACUGGCGCAUGAUUCUGCUCACAAACUAAACCCUAAUUCGUUUCGUUGUGUUGAUUGUGCUCACAAACUCAGAAAUUGAUUCUUCUCCCUAAACUCAUGAACCCUAAUCCGUUCAGUUGUUGACCUGAGAAAGAUGAAGAAACGCGAUUCAUUCCAAGAAAGCAACAAACCCCAGCCUCAUUAAAAGAAACGCGAUUCCUUCACUACGUGCUUUUCGUCUCGACAAAACGCUAUUCUUUCCUUUCGUUCCGACAUCUAUUCUGGCAAGGUACUCACACUUUGAUUCAUUUUCAAAUCUUAUAUGGGAGGAGAGAAGGGUAGAAAACUCGUUGUUUGUUAUUAGGUGGAGAAUGUGGUUCUCUGCAAGGGGUUUCUCUUUUGCACUAGUUUGUUAUUAAUCCGUAAUAAAGUUUCUAUUAUGCCAUCUUAGGCUAAUGUAAUUUUGAACGGGAGAUGUUUAGAUAAACAGUUUAAUUUUUAUUCAAUAAGCACUUAUUGUGUAAGUGCUUAUGUAUAUCUAUAAUGAGAAAAAAAAAUGAUGGUCACAUAAAAUUCUGAACAAGCUUUUUGAUCAACUGUACUAGGGAGUUUAGUAAACUAAACUUUAACUUGGAUAAUUUUGAAGUAUUUUCUAGCUAUGUCUAAGAAAUAAGAAUAGUGAAACAUUUAUGCUUGUAUUCAAUUUUUUUGGUGGUGCAUAUUGUGUGAAGUUGACGGAGGAGUUUGUCGGGGAUUGGUGGGAGUGAUUUAGGGGAUUUGGGUGAUUGGAGUAUUUUGGAGAGGUGUUAUAUGGAAAGAAUGUUGGUGGCUAAGAUUGCUAUUAGGAGGAGGAGGUUUACAGUCAUGGUGCUGAAGGUGACAUAUCUUCUAUUCGGAGAUUCUUUACAAUUUAGAAAUGCAAAUGUUUUAUUUGUUACCAUUUUUAAUUUAUAGAUUUGGAGCUAUAGAUUUCUAUGGUGCAUAGACAUAUCGAAACAAUUGCUUGAUUGCUGUUGAUGUGCUUACAGGUUUGUCGUCAAGUUGAUUACACCAGUGUCUGUGUUUUUUGCCUUUUGAUAUCAUUAACUCUUGCAGUAAAAACUGUUGACUAGCGAGUAUGUGGCAAAUUGCAAAAUAAUAUGCAACAGGUAGUUUGAGUUUGUAUCAUUUUGAUUCAUGCUAUAAUAUCUAUGAGAAUUCUGCAUAAUUGGUACUGAUUAAGAUGCCUAUACUGAUUUGAGAUGAUUGAUUCUAUGAUCAUCUUUGUUAAAGAAUCAAGUAUUGUUGAACUUCAUAAGGGUACUUUUAAUGUGUUCUCAAUUUAAUUUUUAUGUUCAAAUUUCAGAACCAUUGAAGAUUGCUAUAGAUACAUAUCCAAUUAACUCCUAUUAUAUAGUAUAAUCUCCUUUGUUUUUUAUUUUCUUCAUGUGUAUUAAUAUAUAAAAGGUUUGUUUUGACAAUGAAUAAUAACAGGUUGGAUUCAUUGUGGAUUUUAUAGCAUGCUGCAAUUGUGAUUCGUCUUCAACAGUUGAAGGGACUCGCUGCCACGCUACACCACUAUAGCGCGCAAUUAACAACACAGACCUGACUGAUUAAUAGCGUCAUGGCAAAGACAAGGUCUAAUAGUUUAUAAAAUCUUGACUUAAUUUUUUCUUCUUUUUCUUCCUCUUGAAGAUAUUAUGUUUCGUUCUUUUUCUUUUUCUUGUGAUCCUGCUGUUUUAAGAUCAGGCAAAGCUCAUGUCUUAGUCUAUGGAAUGUAAGGAACAAUAGCUGAGGUAAAGCUUUAACUUGUCUAUAUGGUACCUCAAUUCUUACUUACAAUAUCCUUAAUUAAUUUGUUUUCUGCUUCUGCAUUGUUUUACUUUUUUGUUUUGGUUUUUUACAUCUUUUUUUUGUUUAUCCUUUUAUGUUAAGAGAGUCUGAAAGUAAAGCUUUCACUCGAGCCGAAAGCUGAAAAAUGCUUUACAUGGAAUGGUCUAGAGUUAAGAGUAAAAUAAUCUGAUG
rnacentral:lncRNA from 1 species